rnacentral:rRNA from 1 species
UACAGAGGCCCCAAGCGUUGUUCGGAUUCACUGGGCGUAAAGGGUGCGUAGGCGGUCGGGUAAGUCUGAUGUGAAAUCUCACAGCUUAACUGUGAAACUGCAUUAGAUACUAUCCGGCUAGAGGAAUGGAGGGGAGACUGGAAUACUUGGUGUAGCAGUGAAAUGCGUAGAUAUCAAGUGGAACACCAGUGGCGAAGGCGAGUCUCUGGACAUUUCCUGACGCUGAGGCACGAAAGCCAGGGGAGCAAACGGG